rnacentral:rRNA from 1 species
GAUUGAACGCUGGCGGCAGACCUAACACAUGCAAGUCGAGCGGAUGAAGGGAGCUUGCUCCUGGAUUCAGCGGCGGACGGGUGAGUAAUGCCUAGGAAUCUGCCUGGUAGUGGGGGAUAACGUCCGGAAACGGGCGCUAAUACCGCAUACGUCCUGAGGGAGAAAGUGGGGGAUCUUCGGACCUCACGCUAUCAGAUGAGCCUAGGUCGGAUUAGCUAGUUGGUGGGGUAAAGGCCUACCAAGGCGACGAUCCGUAACUGGUCUGAGAGGAUGAUCAGUCACACUGGAACUGAGACACGGUCCAGACUCCUACGGGAGGCAGCAGUGGGGAAUAUUGGACAAUGGGCGAAAGCCUGAUCCAGCCAUGCCGCGUGUGUGAAGAAGGUCUUCGGAUUGUAAAGCACUUUAAGUUGGGAGGAAGGGCAGUAAGUUAAUACCUUGCUGUUUUGACGUUACCAACAGAAUAAGCACCGGCUAACUUCGUG